rnacentral:rRNA from 1 species
GUGGGGAAUAUUGGGCAAUGGGCGCAAGCCUGACCCAGCAACGCCGCGUGAAGGAAGAAGGCUUUCGGGUUGUAAACUUCUUUUACCAGGGACGAAACAAAUGACGGUACCUGGUGAAUAAGCCACGGCUAACUACGUGCCAGCAGCCGCGGUAAUACGUAGGUGGCGAGCGUUAUCCGGAUUUAUUGGGUGUAAAGGGCGUGUAGGCGGGACAGCAAGUCAGAUGUGAAAACCAGAGGCUCAACCUCUGGCCUGAAUUUGAAACUGUUGUUCUUGAGUGUCGGAGAGGUAAUCGGAAUUCCGUGUGUAGCGGUGAAAUGCGUAGAUAUACGGAGGAACACCAGUGGCGAAGGCGGAUUACUGGACGAUAACUGACGCUGAGGCGCGAAAGCGUGGGGAGCAAACAGGAUUAGAUACCCGGGUAGUCC